rnacentral:rRNA from 1 species
AGCUAAUAGAUACCCAGGUAGUCCACGCCCUAAACGAUGUCUACUAGUUGUUGGUGGAGUAAAAUCCAUGAGUAAACGCAGCUAACGCGUGAAGUAGACCGCCUGGGGAGUACGGUCGCAAGAUUAAAACUCAAAGGAAUUGACGGGGGCCCGCACAAGCGGUGGAUUAUGUGGAUUAAUUCGAUGCAACGCGAAAACCUUACCUGGCCUUGACAUGCCACUAACGAAGCAGAGAUGCAUUAGGUGCCCGUAAGGGAAAGUGGACACAGGUGCUGCACGGCUGUCGUCAGCUCGUGUCGUGAGAUGUUGGGUUAAGUCCCGCAACGAGCGCAACCCUUGCCAUUAAUUGCCAUCAUUUAGUUGGGCACUUUAAUGGGACUGCCGGUGACAAACCGGAGGAAGGUGGGGAUGACGUCAAGUCCUCAUGGCCCUUAUGGCCAGGGCUUCACACGUAAUACAAUGGUCGGUACAGAGAGUUGCCAACCCGCGAGGGGAGCUAAUCUCAGAAAGCCGAUCGUAGUCCGGACUGUUCUCUGC